rnacentral:tRNA from 1 species
GCAGGGAUGCCGGAGCGGUCAAACGGGAUAGCCUCAAGAGCUAUUGGCUCAGUGCCUUCGAAGGUUCAAAUCCUUCUCCCUGCA